rnacentral:lncRNA from 1 species
GCCCACACCCGCCCUGCCCCGCCCACACCCGCCCGGACCCGCCCACACCCGCCCCGGGUGAGCGGAGCUUGCCUCCCUGGCGCCGCUGGCCACAGGUGGUGAGCGCGCAAGGCCACGGCUGCCCGCUGGCCCGGAGACUGCGGCGCAUGGUCCGGGCCACUCGUCUGAGCCGCGGACCCGGGCGUCUCUCAGGCAGCAGAGCGGCCACUAGGUACCCGACACCCGUGUGCGGGGAGCACCACUGGCCCUUCCCUACGGGAGAACUGGACCAGAUCCGGGCCGGCCGUGGGUCCCAUCUGCUCCUCUUCUGUGUGAGUUCUCCCCCUCCCCGGUUUCUGGAUGCCGCUCUGCUUACUGCCCCGCUUCCCUUCUUCCUCCCCAGGCUCGAGCUGAUCCUCCCCCUCCAAGCUUGUCCCCCUCUGGGCUUUUGCACUUGCUGUCCCCCUGCCUGGAACCCUCUUCCCCCAGAUCUGCGUGUGGGUCCCCGUCGCCUCUUUGGGUCUCUGCUCAGUGUCCACUCCUCGGAGAGGCCUUGCCGGCCUCGGACAGGUGUGCCGCCCUCCAGCCCCUCACCAAGCCCUGCCUUUGAUUCCUAGUCUUGCUCGCGGGGCUGAUCGCUGCCUGAAAUGGGCCCCUCCUCCUCCCUGUCUCCCCCACGCCCUCCCCGGGCUUCCUGGGGUCACCUCCCAAAUAACCCACUUGCCCUCAAAUCCUUGCCUCAGGGCUGCCUCUGGAAGAACUCAACCUAAGACAGCUAGAGAAGAUUCCAGAAGAUUUCAGAUCUGGGGCAAGGACACCCAGUAGUGCUGGGUACCCUCUGCCGCCCCCACCAGAAGCCACCUCACGUCACUGGGCCACACUGGGGGAUCCCGGCCGGCCCUGGGCUUCAGAUGGGGGCGGAGGGCCCCCCACCGGCUCCCCUGCUUUGCCCAGUGCCAUGGCUGUCCAAGGAUGCUCAGUGCUGCUGGCAAACCAGCGCUGUUCCACCUUCCAGCGCCUCGUCCCCUUUCCACAGCCGGCUUCUCUGCCAGGCUGGGCCUCACGGUGCUGGGGACACAGCCGCCGGGUACCACGGAAACGUUUGCUGGAAGAGUUUGAAUUCAGGAGAUGGAGUCUAACAGCAACGGAUCGGGGCAGACGGAUGGUCCACACUUGUGUGUUCUCCAGUCAUCAUGUACCUCGGACGCCGUCCCGGACAGCACGCCAGACCCGCCUCGUGACGGCCGGGUGCCUGCAGGGCACGGGAAGACGUGCUUUGAGAGGACGAGGGGACUUGCCUGGAAUGUUCUGCCUGAAAGUCACCACGCUCAGUUCCCCUCCCAUCUCUUCUGGCUCCUCGGUCUGGGUCUUGGGACCCACACGGACCUAGUGUCCGCCAGGCGCACAGUGGGGCAGGCCGAGGGUCUCAGGCCUCAGCCAUCAACAGGCCAUGGAGAACACCGCUGAAGCCAGCCUCCAGCCUGGAGCCAGCUCUGCGGGCUGUCACACGGGCACAGGGAGUCUUUUCCGAGCCUUGCCCACCCCCUGCAGGAGUCUGGGGUGCCACGCAGCCACCCAUCUCCAGGGCAAGGAUCCUGGGCCUGCGGGGCGGGCCCUGAUUGGUGGGGCCCCUGGGGGCUGUCCCCUGUCCCAUGACUGGCUCUGGUGGUGCACCUGCGGCCUCAAGACCCACUCAGUGCCCACAGGUCAAACUCGGCGGGGGGCAGAGCAGGGCGCCACCCGUCUGCCUGAUAAAGUCUUAUCAGCACACAGAGGCGCUCAUUUGUCUACACACGUCUGCAGCUGCUUUUGCACUGGGACAACAGAGGUGAAUGGUUGCAGCAGGCUGUCCGCCCUGAAGUUGGGAAUAUUGCCAUGUGGACCUUUCCGGAAAGAGUUUGCUGACGGCUGUGCAAGUGCGUGCUGGUAGCAUCUUCAUUACCGGCGCCUCCCCUGUGGGUGGUGUUCUGCUGACCCGUGGCGUGGAUGGAGCCCCACUGGCCUCGGCAGCAACACGUCCCACCCGGCAGCGGUCACCUCCCUUUCCUGACUCACGUCUGUUCUCACCGUCACAGUUCCCUGGACUGGCUUCCCAGAUACACUGCUUGCACUCGAAUUCGUGCCUCCUGGUUGGGAGAACCCAGAACAGUUCCUUCCGCUGGAAAAGAGACACGUUGGAGGCGGCCUCUCCUUCCACCAGAGUCUGUCAUUUCUGCACGUGACACCCAGAGUUUGGGAAGCUGACCCGGGACGAUGAGGGGAGGCAGCUUCAGGACAAAGCCGAGACGCGGGGACGGCAGGAGACCCUGCGUUGGCGAGGCCAUCGGGCCACUGAAUUAACCGGCCAGGCGCUGCCUGACCUUGAACCCCCUGUUCUGUGGGACGAUGACGAGGAUAAUGGUGUAGGUCAGCGCCAGGAGGGGUCUGCGUCUUCCUGUCUGGUCGACAGCGAGGCCUGGAGAGGGUGGGGGCGCUGUCCGGUAGCAUAAACGCUGGCUGUCGCCCCCUGGUUGGCUGAGGUCGGAGGGGAGGUCUCAAGAUGUGGCAUCUGAGCUGCGUUAGGGGACGUGGACGUCAGCGGGUGAAGAACGGAGGGCAUAGCCGUCUGGGGAGCAGGAACAGCGAGCCAGAGGCCCCGGGAUGGGCAAACCUGUGGCGCAUUCAGGGAAUGGGCCCUGAGAGCCGCCGGGGCCAGCAGGGGCGAGCGGGCACGCGAGUUGGUUUGGACUUUAUUCUAAAGGCCGCAGGCAGUCGUGGAAGGCUUUUGGUCUGAUUUACAUUUUAAGAGGAUGGCUCUGCACCAAACUCCCACACACUGGUGGUGGGAGGGGAUAUGAGAAAACUGUUGCAUUACAUCUAUAAAAGCUGAAUAUUCACUUCUCUGUGACAGAGCAACUCCAUUCCCAGGCAAACAACCCCAGACUGGAAACGACCCAAAAGCCCAUGAGAGUAGAAUGGACAGAUUAAUUGUGGUGGAGUCAGAUUGUGGAAUACUACGCAGCCAUGAAAAAGAGAAAACCAUUGCUACUUGCAGCGACGUGGAUGAGUCUCGCAAACUUAGUCCUGGAGAAAAGAAGCAAGCACAGAACACACGUUGUCUGACUUGUUAUAUGAAGUUCCAGAACAGGCAACACUAUUCUGUGAGGAUAGAAACUGGGAUAAUGGUUAUCCCUGGGCAAGGAGUAGUGGCUGGAAGGGAAACGAGGGGUCUCUGGGAGCUGGGGAUAUGCUGUUCUUGACCUGGGGCUGCUCACACGGAGUGUUCACGUUAUGGAAGUUCACAGAGCUGCACGCUUAGGAUGCGCACGCUGUGUGGUGUGUUUGUUAUGCGCAAUAGGAAAGAUUUGUAAAGGUCAAUAAAACCAGCUCACUGCAGCACAGCACGUGGACAGCGGCACGGCCGUGCCCAACUCUGUCUGUCCUGUCGGGCCAGCCCCUGAGCUGGAACCUGAGCACACAGAGCUGAGGAAGACGCACAGAGUUGGCCCCCACAGAGUUCGCAGGCUGUGGGAGAAAAGAGACAAAUAAAUCUACUCAACAAAAUAAGAAAGCGCCCACUAGGAGCUCCGGGAGAGUUCUUCUUUGGUAGCUUCUGAGCAGGGUUUUGCAGGAUGAAUAGGAGUUUUCUGUAAGAGUGGGAUGGCAGACCAGGCAGGGGAAAAGUAUGUGCAAAGGCCUG